GAUGAACGCUGGCGGCGUGCCUAAUACAUGCAAGUCGAGCGAACGGACGAGAAGCUUGCUUCUCUGAUGUUAGCGGCGGACGGGUGAGUAACACGUGGAUAACCUACCUAUAAGACUGGGAUAACUUCGGGAAACCGGAGCUAAUACCGGAUAAUAUUUUGAACCGCAUGGUUCAAAAGUGAAAGACGGUCUUGCUGUCACUUAUAGAUGGAUCCGCGCUGCAUUAGCUAGUUGGUAAGUUAACGGCUUACCAAGGCAACGAUGCAUAGACGACCUGAGAGGGUGAUCGGCCACACUGGAACUGAGCCACGGUCCAGACUCCUACGGGAGGCCGCAGUCGGGAAUCUUCCGCAGUGGGCGGAAGCCUGACGCAGCGACGCCGCGUGAGUGAUGACGGCCCUCGGAUCGUAAAACUCUGUUAUUAGGGAAGAACAUAUGUGUAAGUAACUGUGCACAUCUUGACGGUACCUAAUCAGAAAGCAACGGCUAACUACGUG
rnacentral:rRNA from 1 species